UUUCCGUAGGUGAACCUGCGGAAGGAUCAUUAUUGUAUAACCGAGGUGCGAGGGCUGUCGCUGACCCGAAAGGUCGUGCACGCCCGAGUGCCCUCACACACAUCCAUCUCACCCCGAUGUGCACCACCGCGUGGGUCCCCCUUUGGCUUGUUCGGAGGGGGGCUUACGUUUUCACACAAACUUUGUAUGCAGUGUAGAAUGUAUUUUUUGUUUUUGCGAUCACGCAAUCAAUACAACUUUCAACAACGGAUCUCUUGGCUCUCGCACGAUGAAGAACGCAGC
rnacentral:misc_RNA from 1 species